rnacentral:misc_RNA from 1 species
GGAAAAUAAUAAUGAUGACCAUGACCAUGAUCAUAAUUUUCUCAAACAUCCAAACCGGCAGUGCACAGCAUUACACAGUGCAGGCACAAUGACAUGUAAGCUUUGAGACCUUUUAGCUUCAGGGAGCAAACUGUUUGGGAAUGGGCUGGUCCUAGCAGCCUAGAUAGAAGCUUUAAAUGACACGUUCAUAAGUCAUCAAAGCUCAAAAAAUUUGUUUCUCAAUAAAUAAAUUCACAAAUUGAGCAAAAAAGUAUCUUGAUUGUCUAAUAAAUAUGGUAAUGGAGGAGGGUUGAUG